rnacentral:rRNA from 1 species
AUUGAACGCUGGCGGCAUGCCUUACACAUGCAAGUCGAACGGUAACAGGUCUUCGGAUGCUGACGAGUGGCGAACGGGUGAGUAAUACAUCGGAACGUGCCUAGUAGUGGGGGAUAACUACUCGAAAGAGUGGCUAAUACCGCAUGAGAUCUACGGAUGAAGGCAGGGGAUCGCAAGACCUUGUGCUACUAGAGCGGCCGAUGGCAGAUUAGGUAGUUGGUGGGAUAAAAGCUUACCAAGCCGACGAUCUGUAGCUGGUCUGAGAGGACGAUCAGCCACACUGGGACGGGGACACGGCCCAGACUCCUACGGGAGGCAGCAGUGGGGAAUUUUGGACAAUGGGCGCAAGCCUGAUCCAGCAAUGCCGCGUGCAGGAUGAAGGCCUUCGGGUUGUAAACUGCUUUUGUACGGAACGAAAAGCCCUGGGUUAAUACCCUGGGGUCAUGACGGUACCGUAAGAAUAAGCACCGGCUAACUACGUGCCAGCCGCCGCCGUAA